AGCGAACGCUGGCGGCAGGCCUAACACAUGCAAGUCGAACGAACCGUUCGGGGUUAGUGGCGGACGGGUGAGUAACACGUGGGAACGUGCCUUUAGGGUCGGAAUAACUCAGGGAAACGUGUGCUAAUACCGAAUGUGCCCUUCGGGGGAAAGAUCUAUCGCCUUUAGAGGGUCUCGCGUCUGAUUAGCUAGUUGGUUGAGUUAAUGGCACACCAAGGCGGCGAUCAGUAGAUGGUCUGAGAGGAUGAUCAGACACAUUGGGACUGAGACACGGCCCAAACUCCUACGGGAGGCAGCAGUGGCGAAUCUUGCGCAAUGGGCGAAAGCAUGACGCAGCCAUGCCGCGUGAAUGAUGAAGGUCUUAGGAUUGUAAAAUUCUUUCACCGGGGAAGAUAAUGACGGUACCCGGAGAAGAAGCCACGGCUAACUUCGUG
rnacentral:rRNA from 1 species